rnacentral:lncRNA from 1 species
UCUUACUAUGCUGCCCAGGCUGUAGCCUUAGGUAAAGUGCCUUCAAAGGCUCGUUUUAGCUUUGUCAUUUUAUGAAAAGUUGAUAUUCUACUCCCUAAGAUAUCCAUCUUUGUCUUCAGAUAAAAAUUAUUUUCCCAAGUCAUCAAGUUGUGCCAUGUUACCCAGCCUGUGGCUUGUAGUGUCCCUGACACACCCUUGCAUAACGCAGGGAGCCCCUGUGCCCUGUGUGAGAAGCACAGCGUGAAGAUGUUGUCCAUAAUAUUGUACAUGGAAAAGGUAACGUUAGCCCCCAUUAAUGUGGAUUCUCUCAUCUAAUUUCCUCUUUUCACCCAGCAAAGUGCCCAGUGACUGAGAAUGAGACAGAAGAUGAGGGCGUUUGAGGAUGAGAAGGAAGAGGAAAGUCAUCAGAGCCACCUGGAAGUAGAGGUCUGGUCAGGUUGGCCUGCUUAACCAAGAUGGCAGCCAGGGGAGUAGGAAGGAUGAAGACAUUGCACACAUUUGGAGGAAGAAACCAAAGCUGGCAUGAGAGGAGUCCUUUCCAGGGCUGUUCAAGGCAACAGGAUGCAGACUCCUCCCAAUGGGUAAACAUUGGAAGACACCAGGAGGGAAGCCAAGCCUCUAGAGAUUGCUCAGGAACCCAAACCACCCCAAAUGGAGCCGGAAGGUCUGUCAAUUCCCAGAGAGGGAGGAAAUGGUAGACCAGGACCCUGCUGUACUUGACUGGACUCCAGGCUCAGAGUUCCAAUUUGCCCACGGCAGAACUUGGCUGCAGGCUUCAGGUCAAGUUCAGGUCUGUUUCACAGUGUUUAUUCUGGGCCCAGGCUGAAGGGGGCAGUGGCUUCCUGGGAAAUUCGUGUCUUAUGGCUAUCACAGAAGCCCUCAGAGCUAAGUUAAGCCUUUCAAACUUUCAAGACCUCAGAGUGCAUCGCGAUGUCUCAAAUUCCAUUGGCCAUUCUAAUAAUGUGGCCAAGCACACAUCAAUAGGUCAGGACAUAUUCCCUGUACUUGAAGGGUGGGCUCUGCAAUGUUAUGACAAAGGGGAGUGAAGAGUCACGACCAAGUCUUUCAAUCUCAUCUACCGUAGUGGUGAAGGGCACAGGCUUUGGUGCCAGAAAGAAGAGUUGGUUUGAACCCCUGCUUCUGUGACACUGGGGAAAUUACCAAAUACAGAGUUACUCUUCCUCAUUGUUGUGUUGAGAUGAUCCUCACCAAAAAUGAAUUUUAGGAGUCAACUUUCAUAUUUGGUUUAGA